GUGGGGAAUAUUGGACAAUGGGCGAAAGCCUGAUCCAGCCAUGCCGCGUGAGUGAUGACGGCCCUAGGGUUGUAAAGCUCUUUCGCAGGUGAAGAUAAUGACGGUAACCUGAGAAGAAGCCCCGGCUAACUUCGUGCCAGCAGCCGCGGUAAUACGAAGGGGGCUAGCGUUGUUCGGAAUUACUGGGCGUAAAGCGCACGUAGGCGGAUACUUAAGUUAGGGGUGAAAUCCCAGGGCUCAACCCUGGAACUGCCUUUAAUACUGGGUAUCUCGAGUCCGAGAGAGGUGAGUGGAAUUCCGAGUGUAGAGGUGAAAUUCGUAGAUAUUCGGAGGAACACCAGUGGCGAAGGCGGCUCACUGGCUCGGUACUGACGCUGAGGUGCGAAAGCGUGGGGAGCAAACAGGAUUAGAAACCCUUGUAGUCC
rnacentral:rRNA from 1 species